rnacentral:rRNA from 1 species
GAGUUUGAUCUUGGCUCAGAUUGAACGCUGGCGGCAUGCCUUACACAUGCAAGUCGAACGGCAGCACGGGAGCUUGCUCCUGGUGGCGAGUGGCGAACGGGUGAGUAAUGCAUCGGAACGUAUCCUGGAGUGGGGGAUAACGUAGCGAAAGUUACGCUAAUACCGCAUAUUCUGUGAGCAGGAAAGCGGGGGACCUUCGGGCCUCGCGCUCUUGGAGCGGCCGAUGUCGGAUUAGCUAGUUGGUGAGGUAAAGGCUCACCAAGGCGACGAUCCGUAGCAGGUCUGAGAGGAUGAUCUGCCACACUGGAACUGAGACACGGUCCAGACUCCUACGGGAGGCAGCAGUGGGGAAUUUUGGACAAUGGGGGCAACCCUGAUCCAGCCAUGCCGCGUGAGUGAAGAAGGCCUCGGUUGUAAGG